GCCUAGUUAGCUUGGUUGGUAGCGCGUCUGCCUUGUAAGCGUUAGGCCGCGGGUUCGAUUCCCGCCCGGGGUG
rfam:Asian citrus Psyllid, Diaphorina citri - Florida Strain, whole genome shotgun sequence.